CUUUUUUGGAACUCAUGAGACGGGUCGAGGAAGGAUAAUCCACAGUCUUACGGAUACGGAGGCUCCUAGGUGGAAGAGACUUGCCUUGCCUCAGAUGAGACUUUGGACUUGGACUUUUGAGUUAAUGCUGGAAUGAGUUAAGACUUUGGGGGAUGGGGACUGUUGGAAGGGCAUGGUUGUGUUUUGAAAUGUGAGGACAUGAGAUUUGAGAGAGGGGGCAGGGGCAGAAUGAUAUGGUUUGGCUCUGUGUCCCCUCACAAAUCUCACCUUGAAUUCUAAUAAUCCCCAGGUGUUAAGGGCGGAACCAGGUGGAGGUAAUUGAAUGAUGGAGGUGGUUUCCCCCAUGUUGUUCUUGUGAUAGUGAGUUUCAUGAGACCUGAUGGUUUCAUAAGCGUCUGGCAUUUUCCCUGCUUGCAUGCAUUCUCUCCUGUGGCCCUGUGAAGAGGUGCCUUCUGCCAUGAUUGUAAGUUUCUUGGGGCCUCCCCAGCCGUGUGGAACUGUGAGUCAAUUAAACUUCUUUUCUUUAU
rnacentral:lncRNA from 1 species